rnacentral:lncRNA from 1 species
AAAAAAGAAGGAAAUGGUCCCAGAAUAGUUUGGCUUUCAGAGAAGCCCAAGAAUCAAUGGCACCAGAGACACAGGAUCAUGAGGGAGUGGGCCAAGAAGGGGCUGUGGAAAAGCUGGUGAUGCUCUUUACUUCUGACUUGAAAAUCCUCGCUGCUCUUGAUGAGGAGGAGCCACGUGGCCGUGGGGUCUUUCAGCCUACAUUUUUUUCAAGUCUCACCCAGUUGUGGGGCAAAGGUGAGAGUGAAUUUGAGUCCAGGUGAACAAGUGCUCCUUACUGAGCAAAGGCUUCGUAUGAAUGACUUGCUUUGGCAUAUAGUGGAACUGUACUAUGUUAAGGAUAAUCUCUCUCUGGUUAUUGAUAAACAUUGUGAGACAACUGGCCAAAUCACUGGUGGGAUGCACAAUUUGCACUUUCAAUAUGGUAUCUAUGUAGCAGGCCAUGGUGGGCUUGAUGUCCCUUACCUAGAUGGAGCGCUCCCCAAUUUCUGUGAAUGUAUGGAGGAUGUGGUGUUUAACCAGAGGGAGAUCCUUACAUCCCUUAGAUCUUACCCUGGUUUUGAGAAGGUUUGUGAGGUGUCACAAGGGUACAGUGAUGAAUUU